rnacentral:lncRNA from 1 species
UCCAAUUUCAUGCGGCUGUGACUGCAAGAUUUUGUGUAGCAAUUCAAAGUGCCAAAAUUAGUGAAGUCAUCUGUAGGAUCUGCCAAGAAAAGCGACUUCUGUGCAGAAAUCCAUCCAACAGAUGGCCUUACCAGCUGAGAAUGGAAUGGGGAAAUUCAUCUGUGGGCCUGCUGUGUUGGCCUAUUCCCUUCCUCAGAAAAUGGUGGGUUUGGCAAGUGUCCAUGUCUGAAGCUUUAAAAAGUUUCCUUGUGAUGUGGUGGUUGGUCCUCAAAGACAUCAUGGUUGAACUCCUGCGGGAUAAGGAUAUUGGCUUUCGGAGUAGCAGUGUAGCAUUUUAGUAUUGGG